UUUUAAUUAACAACCGAACAUUGGUGGUCGGUAUUGUUUUAAAAAUUAAAUUUAAAAUAUUUUACAAUACCGACCACAAGUGGUCGGUUUUUAAUUAGAAAAA
rnacentral:pre_miRNA from 1 species